GAAUAGCUCAGUUGGUAGAGCAUGAAUCUCUUAAACUCAGGGUUGUGGGUUUGAGCACCAAGUUAGGCA